rnacentral:rRNA from 1 species
AUGCUCAAGGUCAGGUACCGAUUGGAGGCGGGGCUCGGCGUGCUCUAUCCAGCGGCGCCGAUUGGAGGUGGUGGCGGCGUGUCCGGCCUCGCGCGGAGGCAGGGUCGACGUUCUCGUUCCAGCGGCUCUGCCUGGUGGUGGUGGCGGCAUGGCCGGCCUCAGUGCGGAAGGAGGCAACGGACGUGGCUUUGCGCGGCGGCGUGGGCCAGCAUGUGGCCGGCGGCCAUGGUCUCUGGUGUGCUUUGGCGUAGGGAGAGAGAGGAGAAGAAGAGUGCUAGAGAGGAGAGGAAAAUGGAAAGAGACACUGACAUGUGGGCCUCAUAUGUUAGUUAA